rnacentral:rRNA from 1 species
UGAGUAACACGUGGGCAAUCUGCCCUGCACUUCGGGAUAAGCCUGGGAAACUGGGUCUAAUACCGGAUAGGACCUUUAGACGCAUGUCUUUUGGUGGAAAGCUUUUGCGGUGUGGGAUGGGCCCGCGGCCUAUCAGCUUGUUGGUGGGGUGAUGGCCUACCAAGGCGACGACGGGUAGCCGGCCUGAGAGGGUGUCCGGCCACACUGGGACUGAGAUACGGCCCAGACUCCUACGGGAGGCAGCAGUGGGGAAUAUUGCACAAUGGGCGCAAGCCUGAUGCAGCGACGCCGCGUGGGGGAUGACGGCCUUCGGGUUGUAAACCUCUUUCACCAUCGACGAAGGUCCGGGUUUUCUCGGAUUGACGGUAGGUGGAGAAGAAGCACCGGCCAACUACGUGCCAGCAGCCGCGGUAAUACGUAGGGUGCGAGCGUUGUCCGGAAUUACUGGGCGUAAAGAGCUCGUAGGUGGUUUGUCGCGUUGUUCGUGAAAUCUCACGGCUUAACUGUGAGCGUGCGGGCGAUACGGGCAGACUAGAGUACUGCAGGGGAGACUGGAAUUCCUGGUGUAGCGGUGGAAUGCGCAGAUAUCAGGAGGAACACCGGUGGCGAAGGCGGGUCUCUGGGCAGUAACUGACGCUGAGGAGCGAAAGCGUGGGGAGCGAACAGGAUUAGAUACCCUGGUAGUCCACGCCGUAAACGGUGGGUACUAGGUGUGGGUUUCCUUCCUUGGGAUCCGUGCCGUAGCUAACGCAUUAAGUACCCCCGCCUGGGGGAGUACGGCCGCAAGGCUAAAACUCAAAAGGAAUUGACGGGGGGCCCGCACAA